CAUUAGAUGACCGAAGUAAGUGUUGGUCUCUUAAACCAUAUCAUAGUAUUAACAAAUACUUCUAAUGA
rnacentral:tRNA from 1 species